AUCCUUUUCUGAUUCAUAGCAUGAUGAUUGAGUAUUUACAUGUCUGUGUGACAUGCACCUCCCUUAGAUUGGUUAUGAUUUUGGCACACAACCCUCAUCUGAUG